UAGAAUAUGAUUAUAACAAUAAAUUUCAUACCAAUUGUUCCAACUGAAUUUGGUCGUUGUCACCUAAUGAUUGACAACAAUAUAUCUCGUUAAGUUUCAGCCUUGUAUGAUUCAA
rnacentral:snoRNA from 1 species